rnacentral:rRNA from 1 species
CCUACGGGAGGCAGCAGGGGGGAAUAUUGGGCAAUGGGCGCAAGCCUGACCCAGCAACGCCGCGGGAAGGAAGAAGGCGUUCGGGUGGUAAACGUCGUGUAAGAGGGAAGAGCAGAAGACGGGACCGCUUGAAUAAGCCACGGCUAACUACGUGCCAGCAGCCGCGGGAAUACGUAGGUGGCAAGCGUUGUCCGGAUUUACUGGGGGUAAAGGGCGUGCAGCCGGGAAGACAAGUCAGAUGGGAAAUCCCGCGGCUCAACCGCGGAACUGCAUUUGAAACUGUUUUUCUUGAGUACCGGAGCGGUCAUCGGAUUUCCUUUUGUCGCGGUGACAUGCGUCGCUAUCAG